rnacentral:rRNA from 1 species
AUAACGGUCCUAAGGUAGCGAAAUUCCUUGUCGGGUAAGUUCCGACCCGCACGAAUGGCGUAACGAUGGCCACACUGUCUCCUCCCGAGACUCAGCGAAGUUGAAGUGGUUGUGAAGAUGCAAUCUACCCGCUGCUAGACGGAAAGACCCCGUGAACCUUUACUGUAGCUUUGCAUUGGACUUUGAAGUCACUUGUGUAGGAUAGGUGGGAGGCUUUGAAGCAGAGACGCCAGUCUCUGUGGAGCCGUCCUUGAAAUACCACCCUGGUGUCUUUGAGGUUCUAACCCAGACCCGUAAUCCGGGUCGGGGACCGUGCAUGGUAGGCAGUUUGACUGGGGCGGUCUCCUCCCAAAGAGUAACGGAGGAGUUCGAAGGUUACCUAGGUCCGGUCGGAAAUCGGACUGAUAGUGCAAUGGCAAAAGGUAGCUUAACUGCGAGACCGACAAGUCGAGCAGGUGCGAAAGCAGGACAUAGUGAUCCGGUGGUUCUGUAUGGAAGGGCCAUCGCUCAACGGAUAAAAGGUACUCCGGGGAUAACAGGCUGAUUCCGCCCAAGAGUUCAUAUCGACGGCGGAGUUUGGCACCUCGAUGUCGGCUCAUCACAUCCUGGGGCUGUAGUCGGUCCCAAGGGUAUGGCUGUUCGCCAUUUAAAGUGGUACGUGAGCUGGGUUUAAAACGUCGUGAGACAGUUUGGUCCCUAUCUGCAGUGGGCGUUGGAAGUUUGACGGGGGCUGCUCCUAGUACGAGAGGACCGGAGUGGACGAACCUCUGGUGUACCGGUUGUAACGCCAGUUGCAUAGCCGGGUAGCUAAGUUCGGAAGAGAUAAGCGCUGAAAGCAUCUAAGCGCGAAACUCGCCUGAAGAUGAGACUUCCCUUGCGGUUUAACCGCACUAAAGAGUCGUUCGAGACCAGGACGUUGAUAGGUGGGGUGUGGAAGCGCGGUAACGUGUGAAGCUAACCCAUACUAAUUGCUCGUGAGGCUUGACUCU